UCCGUAGGUGAACCUGCGGAGGGAUCAUUACACAAAUAUGAAGGCGGGCUGGAACCUCUCGGGGUUACAGCCUUGCUGAAUUAUUCACCCUUGUCUUUUGCGUACUUCUUGUUUCCUUGGUGGGUUCGCCCACCACUAGGACAAACAUAAACCUUUUGUAAUUGCAAUCAGCGUCAGUAACAAAUUAAUAAUUACAACUUUCAACAACGGAUCUCUUGGUUCUGGCAUCGAUGAAGAACGCAGCGAAAUGCGAUAAGUAGUGUGAAUUGCAGAAUUCAGUGAAUCAUCGAAUCUUUGAACGCACAUUGCGCCCUUUGGUAUUCCAAAGGGCAUGCCUGUUCGAGCGUCAUUUGUACCCUCAAGCUUUGCUUGGUGUUGGGCGUCUUGUCUCUAGCUUUGCUGGAGACUCGCCUUAAAGUAAUUGGCAGCCGGCCUACUGGUUUCGGAGCGCAGCACAAGUCGCACUCUCUAUCAGCAAAGGUCUAGCAUCCAUUAAGCCUUUUUUUCAACUUUUGACCUCGGAUCAGGUAGGGAUACCCGCUGAACUUAAGCUUAUCAAUAAGCGGAGGAAAAGAAACCAACCAAUC
rnacentral:rRNA from 1 species